AAGGGAGUUAGGUUUUGAUUUUCCAAAAACCAAAACAAUUCCUCCCGAAAACCCCUCUUCGCUCUUCUCCCUCGCGACGGCGCAACCUCGGCGGAAAACCUAGAGACAGCUAGGUCUUGAGAUCCCGGCGCCGGCGAAGCUUCCCUCCGGCUAGUCUUCAUCCACGGUGGUUGUCUCGAAGAAGAGAAGCUCGGGAACACAAAGGGUUGCCGAGAGGAUCCGCCCGAACCCUAAAAAGUUUCCCCUUUCCUUCUUCUCGGUAGUAAGUGCAAGAAGCUCUAGAUAAAGGAAAAGCUAAAGUAUAAGGAAGAAGGCGACAAGGAGAUGCUGUGACGGUGUGUGAUGUGUGGACUAUGGAGAUCCUUGAGACUUAGCUUAGAAAAAUUUAUUAAAAUUGCUUCCGUCGAAUUGUUAAAAGAAUUUAGAACUUGUAUAUGCUAUUUUCAUUGAUAGAGUUAUUUAUUUCA